UACAGAGGUGGCAAGCGUUGUUCGGAAUUACUGGGCGUAAAGGGCGCGUAGGCGGCCUUCUAAGUCAGGCGUGAAAUCCCCCGGCUUAACCUGGGAACUGCGUCUGAUACUGGGAGGCUUGAGUAUGGGAGAGGGAUGUAGAAUUCCAGGUGUAGCGGUGAAAUGCGUAGAUAUCUGGAGGAAUACCGGUGGCGAAGGCGGCAUCCUGGACCAUUACUGACGCUGAGGCGCGAAAGCGUGGGGAGCAAACAGG
rnacentral:rRNA from 1 species